rnacentral:rRNA from 1 species
GAUGAACGCUAGCGGCAGGCCUAACACAUGCAAGUCGAGGGGUAGCAGGAUUAAGCUUGCUUAAUUGCUGACGACCGGCGCACGGGUGCGUAACGCGUAUGCAACCUACCUUAUACUGGGGUAUAGCCCGGAGAAAUUCGGAUUAAUCCCCCAUAGUACUAAUGAAUCGCCUGGUUUAUUAGUUAAAGUAUUGCGGUAUAAGAUGGGCAUGCGUCCUAUUAGCUAGAUGGUGAGGUAACGGCUCACCAUGGCUACGAUAGGUAGGGGGCCUGAGAGGGUGGUCCCCCACACUGGUACUGAGACACGGACCAGACUCCUACGGGAGGCAGCAGUGAGGAAUAUUGGUCAAUGGGCGCAAGCCUGAACCAGCCAUGCCGCGUGCAGGAAGAAUGCCCUAUGGGUUGUAAACUGCUUUUAUUUGGGAAGAAACCUCUUUACGUGUAGAGAGCUGAAGGUACCAAAUGAAUAAGCACCGGCUAACUCCGUGCCAGCAGCCGCGGUAA